UAUACAACCUCAACUCAUAUGGGACUAC
rnacentral:ncRNA from 18 species